UCAGUAGCUGGUCUGAGAGGACGACCAGCCACACUGGGACUGAGACACGGCCCAGACUCUUACGGGAGGCAGCAGUGGGGAAUUUUGGACAAUGGGCGCAAGCCUGAUCCAGCUAUUCCGCGUGUGGGAUGACGGCCCUCGGGUUGUAAACCACUUUAGUAGAGAACGAAAAGGAGCUAUCGAAUAAAUAGCUCUGCUGACGGUACUCUAAGAAUAAGCACCGGCUAACUACGUGCCAGCAGCCGCGGUAAUACGUAGGGUGCGAGCGUUAAUCGGAAUUACUGGGCGUAAAGGGUGUGCAGGCGGCUGAGUAAGACAGAUGUGAAAUCCCCGGGCUUAACCUGGGAACCGCAUAUGUGACUGCUUGGCUAGAGUGCGUCAGAGGGAGGUGGAAUUCCACGUGUAGCAGUGAAAUGCGUAGAUAUGUGGAAGAACACCGAUGGCGAAGGCAGCCUCCUGGGACGCAACUGACGCUCAUACACGAAAGCGUGGGGAGCAAACAGGAUUAGAUACCCUGGUAGUCCACGCCCUAAACGAUGUCAACUAGUUGUUGGGGAUUAAAAU
rnacentral:rRNA from 1 species